AUGGCUCAGGACGAACGCUGGCGGCGUGCCUAACACAUGCAAGUCGAACGGAGUAAGAAUUCGGUUUUACUUAGUGGCGAACGGGUGAGUAACGCGUGAACAACCUGCCUUCCUGAGGGGGAUAACAACCUGGAAACAAGUGCUAAUACCGCAUAAGACCACAGAGCCGCAUGGCCCAGGGGUCAAAGGAGAGAUCCGCAGGAAGAGGGGUUCGCGUCCCAUUAGCUAGUUGGCGGGGCAACGGCCACCAAGGCGACGAUGGGUAGCCGAGCUGGGAGGCUGAUCGGCCACACUGGAACUGAGACGCGGUCCAGACUCCUACGGGAGGCAGCAGUGGGGAAUAUUGGGCAAUGGGCGCAAGCCCUGACCCAGCAACGCCGCGUGAGGGAAGAAGGUCUUCGGAUUGUAAACCUCUGUCCUAUGUGACGAAGGAAGUGACGGUAGCAUAGGAGGAAGCCCCGGCUAACUACGUGCCAGCCGCCGC
rnacentral:rRNA from 1 species